rnacentral:rRNA from 1 species
AGAGAGAGACAUGCGCGCAUAUCAAUAAGCGGAGGAAAAGAAACUAACAAGGAUUCCCUUAGUAACGGCGAGUGAAGCGGGAAGAGCUCAAAUUUGAAAUCUUCAAGGUUUUACCUUGACGGAAUUGUAGUUUAAAGAAGUGUUUUCUGCUGAAGUUUUGGUAAAAGUUCUUUGGAAUAGGACAUCAUAGAGGGUGAGAAUCCCGUAUUUGACCAUUAUUUUCAGCUUUGUGAUACACUUUCAACGAGUCGGAUUGUUUGGGAAUGCAGUCCAAAAUGGGUGGUAAAUUUCAUCUAAAGCUAAAUAUUGGCGAGAGACCGAUAGCGAACAAGUACCGUGAGGGAAAGAUGAAAAGAACUUUGAAAAGAGAGUUAAACAGUACGUGAAAUUGUCAAAAGGGAAGCGUUUGACACCAGUGUUGUUUUCUCGAAAAUCAAUUAAAAAUGGCUCGAUUUUGUAUUGCUGAGACCUUAAAAGCUCACUGUACAUUUUUCGUGUCUUUUUUAAUGCACUUUUCGUUUAACAAGUCAACAUCAGUUUCUUUUGUUGUAAAAGGGUCAUUGGAAGGUGGCUUUCUUUUCGGAGAAAGUGUUUAUAGCCUUUGGCCUCUGCAAUCGAAGAGACUGAGGUCUGCAGCGUAGACUCUUCGGGGUUAGAUACAUUUGUGCUAAGUUAUAGCUUUUUAUAGACAACUUGUUGACUAUAAUUAGUCUUGUAGCUUACUCGCUUAUGCUAUUUUACCUACGCUUAGGAUGUUGAAGAUGUAGCACAUCAU